GACAGAGGGUGCAAACGUUGUUCGGAAUUACUGGGCGUAAAGCGUGUGUAGGCGGCCACGUAAGUCGGAUGUGAAAGCCCUGGGCUCAACCCAGGAAGUGCACUCGAUACUGCGUGGCUUGAGUACUGGAGAGGUUGGUGGAAUUCUCGGUGUAGAGGUGAAAUUCGUAGGUAUCGAGAGGAACACCGGUGGCGAAGGCGGCCAACUGGACAGAUACUGACGCUGAGGCGCGAAAGCGUGGGGAGCAAACAGG
rnacentral:rRNA from 1 species